CGGAUUCAGGUAGGAAAC
rnacentral:rRNA from 1 species